UACGGAGGGUGCGAGCGUUGUCCGGAAUCAUUGGGCGUAAAGGGUGCGUAGGUGGGCAAGUAAGUCAGUGGUGAAAUCUCCGGGCUUAACCCGGAAACUGCCAUUGAUACUAUUUGUCUUGAAUACUGUGGAGGUCAGCGGAAUAUGUCAUGUAGCGGUGAAAUGCUUAGAUAUGACAUAGAACACCAAUUGCGAAGGCAGCUGGCUACACAAAUAUUGACACUGAGGCACGAAAGCGUGGGGAUCAAACAGG
rnacentral:rRNA from 1 species